CAGCACUGCCAAGUGACCCAUUGGGCUCCACCUUGACCAACUGGGCAUCAAGCGGUGCAAAAGCAAAUCCCUCUCAAGCUGGGAGCGUCACACCGUGGACUACUCCUGCAUACAGCUGGGUACAUAU
ensembl:snoRNA